rnacentral:lncRNA from 1 species
GGAAUCAUUGACUUUGAGUUAACAGAAACUCUUCAUUUCUGGGGAACAUAAACAGAAACUACGAUGCUGAAAUUCUUAUGAUGGGUGUCAUCUUCAUUUUCUGAUUGUUGUUGUUUGAUUUUAAUUGCAAAAGUAACUGGAAUUAUCCUGGGGUAAGAAGAGUUUGAAGACCUUGAAAUCAGCUUACAGGGACCUCUUCCUGGUAAUUUUAUUGUACACCAAACAAGAAAAUUCUAAGGACAUAGACCCGUGUUGGUUCAUUUAAAUUGACUCACAUUCUGCCCUACGUGUGCUCCUGUGUAUACCUUUUCCAGUGUGUAUUUUC